CAUCUAUACGGUGAAACUGCGAAUGGCUCAUUAAAUCAGUUAUCGUUUAUUUGAUAGUACCUUACUACUUGGAUAACCGUGGUAAUUCUAGAGCUAAUACAUGCUAAAAACCCCAACUUCGGGAGGGGUGUAUUUAUUAGAUAAAAAACCAAUGCCCUUCGGGGCUCCUUGGUGAUUCAUGAUAACUUAACGAAUCGCAUGGCCUUGCGCCGGCGAUGGUUCAUUCAAAUUUCUGCCCUAUCAACUUUCGAUGGUAGGAUAGUGGCCUACCAUGGUUUCAACGGGUAACGGGGAAUUAGGGUUCUAUUCCGGAGAGGGAGCCUGAGAAACGGCUACCACAUCCAAGGAAGGCAGCAGGCGCGCAAAUUACCCAAUCCCGACACGGGGAGGUAGUGACAAUAAAUACUGAUACAGGGCUCUUUUGGGUCUUGUAAUUGGAAUGAGUACAAUUUAAAUCCCUUAACGAGGAACAAUUGGAGGGCAAGUCUGGUGCCAGCAGCCGCGGUAAUUCCAGCUCCAAUAGCGUAUAUUAAAGUUGUUGCAGUUAAAAAGCUCGUAGUUGAACCUUGGGCUUGGCUGUCCGGUCCGCCUCACCGCGUGCACUGGUGCGGCCGAGCCUUUCCUUCUGGGAAGCCGCAUGCCCUUCACUGGGUGUGUCGGGGAACCAGGACUUUUACUUUGAAAAAAUUAGAGUGUUCAAAGCAGGCCUAUGCUCGAAUACAUUAGCAUGGAAUAAUAGAAUAGGACGUGUGGUUCUAUUUUGUUGGUUUCUAGGACCGCCGUAAUGAUUAAUAGGGAUAGUCGGGGGCAUCAGUAUUCAAUUGUCAGAGGUGAAAUUCUUGGAUUUAUUGAAGACUAACUACUGCGAAAGCAUUUGCCAAGGAUGUUUUCAUUAAUCAGUGAACGAAAGUUAGGGGAUCGAAGACGAUCAGAUACCGUCGUAGUCUUAACCAUAAACUAUGCCGACUAGGGAUCGGGCGAUGUUAUCAUUUUGACUCGCUCGGCACCUACGAGAAAUCAAAGUCUU
rnacentral:rRNA from 1 species